rnacentral:rRNA from 1 species
GACGAACGCUGGCGGCGUGCCUAAUACAUGCAAGUAGAACGCUGAAGGAGGAGCUUGCUUCUCUGGAUGAGUUGCGAACGGGUGAGUAACGCGUAGGUAACCUGCCUGGUAGCGGGGGAUAACUAUUGGAAACGAUAGCUAAUACCGCAUAAUAGUAGAUGUUGCAUGACAUUUGCUUAAAAGGUGCAAUUGCAUCACUACCAGAUGGACCUGCGUUGUAUUAGCUAGUUGGUGAGGUAACGGCUCACCAAGGCAACGAUACAUAGCCGACCUGAGAGGGUGAUCGGCCACACUGGGACUGAGACACGGCCCAGACUCCCACGGGAGGCAGCAGUAGGGAAUCUUCGGCAAUGGACGGAAGUCUGACCGAGCAACGCCGCGUGAGUGAAGAAGGUUUUCGGAUCGUAAAGCUCUGUUGUAAGAGAAGAACGAGUGUGAGAGUGGAAAGUUCACACUGUGACGGUAUCUUACCAGAAAGGGACGGCUAACUACGUG